rnacentral:rRNA from 1 species
AAACGGCUGCUAAUACCGAAUACGUCUUUUCAUCGCAUGGUGAGAAGAAGAAAAGGACGGCCUCUACACAAAGCGGUCGCCGAAGGAGGGGUUUUGCGUCUGAUUAGCUAGUUGGAGGGUAACGGCCCAACAAGGCGACGAUCAGUAGCCCGGUCCUGAGAGGAUGAACGGCCACAUUGGGACUGAGACACGGCCCAGACUCCUACGGGAGGCAGCAGUGGGGAAUCUUCCGCAAUGGACGAAAGUCUGACGGAGCAACGCCGCGUGAGUGAAGACGGUCUUCGGAUUGUAAAGCUCUGUUAUACGGGACGAACGGCAAGGUGGUAAAUAGCCAUCAUGAGUGACGGUACCGUAAGAGAAAGCCACGGCUAACUACGUGCCAGCAGCCGCGGUAAU